rnacentral:tRNA from 1 species
CGGGGCGUGGCGCAGUCGGGUAGCGCACCUGCUUUGGGAGCAGGGGGUCGGAGGUUCAAAUCCUCUCGCCCCGACCA